UGGGGAAUAUUGCGCAAUGGGCGAAAGCCUGACGCAGCGACGCCGCGUGAGGGAUGAAGGUUUUCGGAUCGUAAACCUCUGUCAGAAGGGAAGAAACCGCACUGUGCUAAUCAGCAGUGCCUUGACGGUACCUUCAAAGGAAGCACCGGCUAACUCCGUGCCAGCAGCCGCGGUAAUACGGAGGGUGCAAGCGUUAAUCGGAAUUACUGGGCGUAAAGCGCACGUAGGCUGCUUUGUAAGUCAGGGGUGAAAUCCCACGGCUCAACCGUGGAACUGCCUUUGAUACUGCUUAGCUUGAAUCCGGGAGAGGGUGGAGGAAUUCCAGGUGGAGAAGUGAAAUCCGUAGAUAUCUGGAGGAACAUCAGUGGCGAAGGCGGCCACCUGGACCGGUAUUGACGCUGAGGUGCGAAAGCGUGGGGAGCAAACAGG
rnacentral:rRNA from 1 species